AGAGUUUGAUUCUGGCUCAGGAUGAACGCUAGCGGCAGGCUUAACACAUGCAAGUCGAGGGGCAGCGGGAUGUAGCAAUACAUUGCCGGCGACCGGCGGAUGGGUGCGUAACGCGUAUGCAACCUACCUUAUACAGGGGAAUAACCUUUCGAAAGGGAGACUAACACCCCAUAGUAUUGAUUUAAGGCAUCUUAGAUUAAUUAAAUAUUUAUAGGUAUAAGAUGGGCAUGCGUAUGAUUAGCUAGUUGGUAAGGUAACGGCUUACCAAGGCGACGAUCAUUAGGGGUUCUGAGAGGAAGGUCCCCCACACUGGUACUGAGACACGGACCAGACUCCUACGGGAGGCAGCAGUGAGGAAUAUUGGUCAAUGGGCGCAAGCCUGAACCAGCCAUGCCGCGUGCCAGGAAGACGGCCUUAUGGGUUGUAAACUGCUUUUACAUAAGACUAACCGUAUAUUUGCGAAUAUACCUGAAUGUAUUAUGAGAAUAAGGAUCGGCUAACUCCGUGCCAGCAGCCGC
rnacentral:rRNA from 1 species